rnacentral:rRNA from 1 species
UGAACGCUGGCGGCGUGCCUAAUACAUGCAAGUCGAGCGAACGGACGAGAAGCUUGCUUCUCUGAUGUUAGCGGCGGACGGGUGAGUAACACGUGGAUAACCUACCUAUAAGACUGGGAUAACUUCGGGAAACCGGAGCUAAUACCGGAUAAUAUUUUGAACCGCAUGGUUCACAAGUGAAAGACGGUCUUGCUGUCACUUAUAGAUGGAUCCGCGCUGCAUUAGCUAGUUGGUAAGGUAACGGCUUACCAAGGCAACGAUGCAUAGCCGACCUGAGAGGGUGAUCGGCCACACUGGAACUGAGACACGGUCCAGACUCCUACGGGAGGCAGCAGUAGGGAAUCUUCCGCAAUGGGCGAAAGCCUGACGGAGCAACGCCGCGUGAGUGAUGAAGGUCUUCGGAUCGUAAAACUCUGUUAUUAGGGAAGAACAUAUGUGUAAGUAACUGUGCACAUCUUGACGGUACCUAAUCAGAAAGCCACGGCUAACUACGUG